CAGCCGCCGCGGUAAUACGAAGGGGGCUAGCGUUGUUCGGAUUUACUGGGCGUAAAGGGCUCGCAGGCGGUUUCUUAAGUCUGAUGUGAAAGCCCCCGGCUCAACCGGGGAGGGUCAUUGGAAACUGGGAAACUUGAGUGCAGGAGAGGAGAGUGGAAUUCCACGUGUAGCGGUGAAAUGCGUAGAGAUGUGGAGGAACACCAGUGGCGAAGGCGACUCUCUGGUCUGUAACUGACGCUGAGGAGCGAAAGCGUGGGGAGCGAACAGGAUUAGAUACCCCAGUAGUCCCUGUCUCUUAUAC
rnacentral:rRNA from 1 species